GCGUUGUUCGGAUUUAUUGGGCGUAAAGGGCGUGUAGGCGGUAGUAGAAGUCUGGUGUGAAAUAUCUCGGCUCAACCGAGAAGAUGCGCUGGAAACUGUGCUACUAGAGUUUAGGAGGGGGAGCUGGAAUUCCUGGUGUAGGGGUGAAAUCUGUAGAGAUCAGGAAGAACACCGGAGGCGAAGGCGAGCUCCUGGCCAUAGACUGACGCUGAGGCGCGAAAGCGUGGGGAGCGAACAGGAUUAGAUACCCUGGUAGUCCACGCUGUAAACGAUGUGCACUAGGUGUCUGUCUGUAGAAGAUGGGUGCCCUAACAAACGCCAAUAAGUGCACCGCCUGGGGAGUAUGCUCGCAAGGGUGAAACUCAAAGGAAUUGACGGGGGCCCGCACAAGCGGUGGAGCAUGUGGUUAAUUCGAUGAUACGCGAGGAACCUUACCAGGGCUUGACAUAUACAAGUGAAAGCGUGUGAGAGCAAGCUUCCACUUUUGUGGACUGUAUACA
rnacentral:rRNA from 1 species